AGGGGUGUGCAUCGGUUGGGUCAGUUCGGUUCGGUCUAAAAAAUUGAAAAACUGAAUAAACUGUACCAAUAAAAAAUCCAAACAUAACCGAAAUACCGCUAAAAUCGAAUUAAAUCAAACCUAAAUAAUUUGGCUCCAUUCAGUUCAAUUUGUCUGUUUUGAACAAAGGCAAUUUUUAUAGACAAUUUAAAUUAUUUUUAAGAGAAAUAUUAACUAAAAAACACAAAAAUAACCCCUGCAAUUCGUCUUCUUGAAAAUUUUGAUCCUCAAAACAAUACCAUUACACAAGGAGAGCCAAAGGAUAAUACCAUUCAUAAUGUGUCUGCAUUAAAAAAAGUGAAAUACAUGAAAGGAAGAAGAAUAUUACAAAGUUAAAAGAAAAAAAAAAACCUUAAACAUGAACAAAUUACUCAAAAACAAAUGAAAUAUCCAAAAUAUGAAGCUUGUGACAACUAAUAAGAGAAAUAUUACAAA
rnacentral:misc_RNA from 1 species